rnacentral:lncRNA from 7 species
CAUUGGUGGGUUGGGGGCGGGGGUGGGCGGGGCGAGCGUCCAACGGGCUCCGCCCUCCGCGCCGCGCCAGAUGGCCUAAAAGGGGCGGGGCGGAGCGCGCCCAUUCAUGCGGGCCGGACGGGGGCGUGGCCCGGCCGGAGCCGUUCCCGCUGGCGCGCCGCAGGCAGCACAGAGCCCCCCACCCACGGUGUCCCCCGUGUCCUCUGCUGAAGGGGGACCAGGGGGUCCACCAAAGGACAUCUUGGGGACACCCUGUCUUCCCUGUGUUCCCCCCCAGGAAGGUCCCCACAUGACACACGGUGUCCUCCAGCCCGCGCUGCAACGAUGGAUUGAACUUUAGUCUCCAAGCAAUUAAGGUGCCCUGAAACUGCACUUCAUUAAUGGUUGUUAUGCAAUAAAAACAAUAAAACUGCCCUUAUUUGCAAUAUAAAAAAGCAAUUAGUUUUAAUUUAUGUUUUUAAAUACUUGCCAGGUUCUUCCCGGGCUCUGCCAGGCGUUGGCCUUUGAGGUGGGAGGAGUGGAGAGGGUUGCUUUGUUGGGACAGGGUUGGGGUGUCCCCGUGUGUCCCCCCCCCCCCUCUGGGCUGCAGCUUUGAAUGGGCUCAGUGCCCCAGCUCUGCCAAUUGCAAAUCUGCUGCUGCUGUCGCCUGCCGCUCUGCUCAGCGAGGUGUGCGCACACGUGAGCACACACGCAUGUGUGAGCGUGCUUCCCCCACUGAGCAGCACAGGACAAAGGCUCUGCCCCAGCGCAGCAGUGUGGGACCCUCGUGGGGAUUUGAUGCGUUUUCAUAAAACAGAGAGAGAUCCUGAGCUGCCCCUCAGCCACCUUUUCUAAUUACGGUUAAUUGCAGCUGCCUGCAGCCCCCCAGGACCUGCUUAUUCUCCUGAGCUCCCCACACCCAGGUAGGAGGGAUCGGGGCCGGGGGCAGCUCUGAGCUGGGGGUCCCAGCAGAGCCCAUGUGGGGAUGCAGCUGAGGGCGUACUGUAGGGCUGCUCGGAGGAGCCUGAGCUGUGCAGAACAGGGCUAGAGGACCUCGGUGGUGCCACCCUACUGUCUCUGUGCUGAUGGUGGUGCUGGGGGCUGCCUUCAGCUCCCCCUGCUUUGCUCACAGCAUUGGAGCCAUGUGAGACGCGUUGUUCGGUAGCUGGGCGCUGAUGGGUUGCAGGUGAGUAUCUGCACAUGGUUUGCAUUGCAGAGAGAUUGGGGACACAGCAAUUGGAAACACGUUGUCCUGCAGGACUGCCCUGCAUGCAGGCUGCCAGGGAUGAAUUCUGCAGCCCUGUGUCAGAUUGGCUGCAGCAGCAGUACCUACCUGAUUUCCUCUUUUUAAUGGGGAGGAAAAUGGAGUUUCAUUCAUCACUUGGGCUUUAAAAAUUGCCUGAGGAGGGUUUGCUUUUGAAAGCAAAAAAUCAAUAGCAGGAAGAAAAGAGAAACAGGGAAAAGGGCAGCAGUGGUGAAAGCAGAUGGAUACCAAAUCAAUCCGGGCUGGAGACAGUUGGUAACAUGGCCAGGACAUCACCAGAGGGGUUGGGGCGCCCAGGAGUUGAGCUUUGGCUGGGUGCUGCACCACCCAUCCUCACAGGCACCACAUCCCACAGUGCUGUGUUGCAGUGCUCUCAGUGCAUGCUGGGCUCCUGGUGGCCUUGCAGCAUGUGGGGAAGACACCUGAGCCCUUUUUUUCUGCCAGUGUUGAGUUAGGGGCCAUGUAAAACUAAUUGGAUAAACAUGAUUUCCCCUCUAACUCAGUGCAGAUGUCCUGGUGCAGCAGUGAGGUGCUCUCCCUUCCCAGCCAGAUGGGCGGCUGUGUCCUGGCGGUGCUGUGCCUGCUGGGGUAGGAGACGCCCAGCCCCACAGUGCAGCUGGGGGCGGGUGAGGAGGGGAACCCCCAGCCCUGGGGGUCAUAGCAGCACUUCUGCUGCUGGAGAGGGUGUGGGGGGCUGAGAGGAGGUCACAGUGUGGAAAGUCCCAUGUCCGGAUACUGCAUCCCAUAUCUGGGUACAGUGUCCCAGGCCGGGGUAGUACAUCCUAUAUCCUGGUACUACAUCCUAUGUCCAGGUGCUGCAUGCAGUAUCUAGGAAUGACAUCCUAUAUCCUGGUGCCAUAACCUGUGACUACGUACCAUGUCCCAUAUCCUGGUACCACAUCCCAUAUCUAGGUACCAUGUCCCAUGUCCGAGUACAGCGUUCCAUAUCUGGGUAUGACGUCUUCUGCUUGUGUUCCAUGUCCCAUAUCUGGGUACCAUGUCCCAUGCCCAGGUGCUGCAGCCCCUCUAGCUCUGGCCCUGUGCUACUGGUGCCAAUUCUCACACCCAGACACUGCUGUUUG